UUAAAAGACCUAGCAAUAGGUAUGCUUAGGGAAGAGCUUGCGUCACAUUAGUUAGUUGGUGGGGUAAUGGCCUACCAAGACGAUGACGUGUAGCCGGGCUGAGAGGUCGAACGGCCACAUUGGGACUGAGACACGGCCCAAACUCCUACGGGAGGCAGCAGUAAGGAAUUUUCGGCAAUGGAGGAAACUCUGACCGAGCAAUGCCGCGUGAACGAUGAAGUAUUUUGGUACGUAAAGUUCUUUUAUUAGGGAAGAAAAGAUGGUGGAAAAACCAUUAUGACGGUACCUAAUGAAUAAGCCCUGGCUAACUAUGUGCCAGCAGCCGCGGUAAUACAUAGGGGGCAAGCGUUAUCCGGAAUUAUUGGGCGUAAAGGGUGCGUAGGCGGUUAAAUAAGUUUAUGGUCUAAGUGCAACGCUCAACGUUGUGGUGCUAUAAAAACUGUUUAGCUAGAGUUGGAUAGAGGCAAGUGGAAUUCCGUGUGUAGUGGUAAAAUGCGUAAAUAUACGGAGGAACACCAGAAGCGAAGGCGGCUUGCUGGGUCUUAACUGACGCUGAGGCACGAAAGCGUGGGGAGCAAACAGGAUUAGAUACCCUGGUAGUCCACGCCCUAAACGAUGAGUACUAAACGUUGGAUAAAACCAGUGUUGAAGUUAACACAUUAAGUACUCCGCCUGAGUAGUACGUACGCAAGUAUGAAACUUAAAGGAAUUGACGGGACUCCGCACAAGCGGUGGAUCAUGUUGUUUAAUUCGAAGGUACCCGAAAAACCUCACCAGGUCUUGACAUGCUUUUGCAAAGCUGUAGAAAUACAGUGGAGGUUAUCAGAAGCACAGGUGGUGCAUGGUUGUCGUCAGCUCGUGUCGUGAGAUGUUGGGUUAAGUCCCGCAACGAGCGCAACCCUUGUUGUUAAUUGCCAUCAUUAAGUUGGGGACUUUAGCAAGACUGCCAAUGAUAAAUUGGAGGAAGGUGGGGACGACGUCAAAUCAUCAUGCCCCUUAUGACCUGGGCUACAAACGUGAUACAAUGGCUGUUACAAAGGGUAGCUAAAGCGUAAGCUUCUGGCGAAUCUCAAAAAGACAGUCUCAGUUCGGAUUG
rnacentral:rRNA from 1 species